rnacentral:rRNA from 1 species
GGAGUCCUACGGGGGGCAGCAGUAGGGAAUUUUCGUCAAUGGGCGCAAGCCUGAACGAGCGAUGCCGCGUGAGUGAAGAAGGCCUUCGGGUCGUAAAGCUCUGUUGCGGGGGAAAAAAGGCAGCAUCAGGAAAUGGGUGCUGACUGAUGGUGCCCCGCCAGAAAGUCACGGCUAACUACGUGCCAGCAGCCGCGGUAAUACGUAGGUGGCGAGCGUUAUCCGGAUUUAUUGGGUUUAAAGGGUGCGUAGGCGGACAGUCAAGUCAGCGGUAAAAAUGCGGUGCUCAACGCCGUACAGCCGUUGAA